GAAUCUUGGACAAUGGGGGCAACCCUGAUCCAGCGAUGCCGCGUGUGUGAAGAAGGCCUGAGGGUUGUAAAGCACUUUCAGAAGGGAGGAAGGUCCCUAAGUUAAAACCUUAGGGAAUUGACGUUACCUUCAGAAGAAGCACCGGCUAACUCUGUGCCAGCAGCCGCGGUAAUACAGAGGGUGCAAGCGUUAAUCGGAAUGACUGGGCGUAAAGGGCGUGUAGGUGGAAAUGCAAGUCAAAGGUGAAAUCCCCGGGCUUAACCUGGGAACUGCCUCUGAAACUGCGUAUCUAGAGUAUAGGAGAGGGAAGUGGAAUUUCCGGUGUAGCGGUGAAAUGCGUAGAUAUCGGAAGGAACACCAGUGGCGAAGGCGACUUCCUGGCCUAAUACUGACACUGAGGCGCGAAAGCGUGGGUAGCGAACAGG
rnacentral:rRNA from 1 species